UGCGGAGGAUGCAAGCGUUAUCCGGAAUGAUUGGGCGUAAAGCGUCCGCAGGUGGCAAUGUAAGUCUGCUGUUAAAGAGUCUAGCUCAACUAGAUAAGAGCAGUGGAAACUACAUAGCUAGAGUACGUUCGGGGCAGAGGGAAUUCCUGGUGUAGCGGUGAAAUGCGUAGAGAUCAGGAAGAACACCAGUGGCGAAGGCGCUCUGCUAGGCCGUAACUGACACUGAGGGACGAAAGCUAGGGGAGCGAAUGGG
rnacentral:rRNA from 1 species